GACGAACGCUGGCGGCGUGCUUAACACAUGCAAGUCGAACGGAAAGGCCCUGCUUUUGUGGGGUGCUCGAGUGGCGAACGGGUGAGUAACACGUGAGUAACCUGCCCUUGACUUUGGGAUAACUUCAGGAAACUGGGGCUAAUACCGGAUAGGAGCUCCUGCUGCAUGGUGGGGGUUGGAAAGUUUCGGCGGUUGGGGAUGGACUCGCGGCUUAUCAGCUUGUUGGUGGGGUAGUGGCUUACCAAGGCUUUGACGGGUAGCCGGCCUGAGAGGGUGACCGGCCACAUUGGGACUUAGAUACGGCCCAGACUCCUACGGGAGGCAGAAGUGGGGAAUAUUGCACAAUGGGCGGAAGCCUGAUGCAGCAACGCCGCGUGCGGGAUGACGGCCUUCGGGUUGUAAACCGCUUUCGCCUGUGACGAAGCGUGAGUGGCGGUAAUGGGUAAAGAAGCACCGGCUAACUACGUG
rnacentral:rRNA from 1 species